rnacentral:tRNA from 1 species
GGGGUUGUAGCUCAGUGGUAGAGCACUUACCUAGCAUAUGUGAGGCCCUGAGUUCAAUUCCCAGCACCA